rnacentral:rRNA from 1 species
CCUACGGGAGGCUGCAGUGGGGAAUUUUCCGCAAUGGGCGAAAGCCUGACGGAGCAAGACCGCGUGGGGGAAGAAGGCUCUUGGGUUGUAAACUCCUUUUCUCUGGGAAGAACAAAAUGACGGUACCAGAGGAAUCAGCAUCGGCUAACUCCGUGCCAGCAGCCGCGGUAAGACGGAGGAUGCAAGCGUUAUCCGGAAUGAUUGGGCGUAAAGCGUCCGCAGGUGGCAGUUCAAGUCUGCUGUCAAAGACCGGGGCUCAACCUCGGAAAGGCAGUGGAAACUGAACAGCUAGAGUAUGGUAGGGGCAAAGGGAAUUCCUGGUGUAGCGGUGAAAUGCGUAGAGAUCAGGAAGAACAUCGGUGGCGAAGGCGCUUUGCUGGACCAUAACUGACACUCAGGGACGAAAGCUAGGGGAGCGAAUGGGAUUAGAUACCCGUGUAGUC